rnacentral:rRNA from 1 species
UACGUAGGGUGCAAGCGUUGUCCGGAAUCAUUGGGCGUAAAGAGCGUGUAGGCGGCCAACUAAGUCCUGCGUGAAAUCUCGGGGCUCAACCCCGAGCGGUCGUGGGAAACUGGUUGGCUAGAGUGCGGGAGAGGAGAGUGGAAUUCCUGGUGUAGCGGUGAAAUGCGCAGAUAUCAGGAGGAACACCAGUGGCGAAGGCGGCUCACUGGCCCGGUACUGACGCUGAGGUGCGAAAGCGUGGGGAGCAAACAGG